GGUGCUGCUGGUACUGCGGGAGUCCUCGCGGCCGCCUUCGCAGCGGCCGACGCUGGUGGAGGCGGACCGGCUGUUCGAGUCGGCCCGGAAUUCC
rnacentral:tRNA from 1 species